rnacentral:ncRNA from 1 species
CUUCACGAGAGGUGGCGCCAAGCUCCGACUGGCCACCCGCCAACCCCAUGUUCACGGGUGGCUCGGAUGCAGAAGCGGCCCCGUUCUCCUGGCGGGGCAAGAGCACACG